rnacentral:lncRNA from 1 species
UUUUAGACAUGGAAAGGUUUUUUCCUUCCUUUCCGGAUCACCCACAGAAAAGCAUUUUCAGUUGAGAAUUAGGAGCAGCCAGUGAGUGGGGCUUUCUCUGAUGGUUGAGAUGGAAGGUUUGACCUUUCCAGGGGAGCUUUAUGUGGCCCAGUGGUGCCCUCUGCUGAUAACUGGGUCGUGGCUUACUUAAUUCAUACAUUCUUUCACUCCGUCACUAAUUUGCAAAAAGCUAUUGAGCACUUAUCUGUGCUAGAGAUGGUGAUUCCUACGCUGUGGGUACUAAGAGAACCAGAAAUGCUCCCUCUCCGUCCACGGAGCCAACCGGCUACGGCAGGAGGAGAUGUGACACACUGGCGUCUGAAUCAUAAGAAAGCCUGGCCCUGCCAGGCUUUGAAAACCUGCACAAUACCUUUGAAAUGAACUCCAAACGUGAGUCUAUGCUUUCCAUUCUUAAUACACUGAGAAUAAAUAUUGCCUGUGAGCGAGCUUACUUCAUUUUCACUGUUAUCUCCUUCAGAAAUGCUGUGUGCCUGUGUUCAACUUUUUAAAAUUAAUAUUCAUAAACCUCAUUCAUUCAAAUGCAUGAGGGGAGAAACAGAACAGAUAUGAUGUAUUUUUUGACCUCAAAGAGCAUACAAUCUGGGAGGAAGGAUAUCCUUAAUUUGAAGGAAACCACUAGAAAAACAUACAUGCUAAAGUGGAGCACGAGACAUUUAUAUCAAAGAGCGGUGAGGAGGUGGAAGAAGUGGGCAGUGCAUAGGGUGAAGUAAGUCAGGAAAAAACGUCUUGGAGGUGGAACAUUGCUCUCUGAAAAGAAAUGAACGUGACAGUAGACAAGGCUAUGGAAGCUUCAGAUCCUGGGAGGGGCUAGUCUUGGAGGUAGCAGAGCCCUGCUCACUGGAAGGGGUGUGCCUGGCUACACAGGCCCCUUUUGGCUCACAGCAGCGCAUCUGUGGAAACCCAGGUUACCACUGUCUGUGCCUCAUCAAAGUCUGCCUGCUGCUUGGCGACAUCACGCUCCAGACCUGUCUCUAGGAGCCGUGUGACUGAAGGUCAAGGGUGUCUCCAGGGAGCUCUCACCUGCCUGGUUCGCCCCUGCCCUGCCCUCUGAUUGGUUAUCCACACACCCACAAAGUUGUUUCACUCUCUGCUCUAAAACAGUACAGGAUUUCUGGUGGCAAGGGAUGCAGCCUUCAUUACCACCCCCCAACCCGCACCCCAACACAAAGCAGAGGAUACAAAACAAAUGGAGGCUUCAUAUGUUCUGGCAGCAAGUCCUCGCCCAGAAAUCUGGAGAUGCAAAUAAAGGCCCCCUCGAACAAAACUCGCUAAACGUGCUGAGUGGCCACGAGCCCAUCCAAGAUAAAACUAAACUAGAAAACAUCUAAAGGCAUGGAAGAGGAGAAGGAAGCCAGGCUCUCAGCCCUGGCUGUGGAGGAGCUCCGCUCCGAAGGGCGAGGUCUGUCCACCAGGGAACAGGGGAGCCUGGUCUCUGGAGCGUGGAAACCACACCUGCCACCUUCCCCCGCGCACCAUGGUGGAUGCUACAGACAACAAAAGACUAGCUUUAUUAUUAUCUCCUGGGAAAACCCCGAUUACUUCGCUCUAUGACAUCCCCACUGAGAACUGCCACCAGCUCUACAGGUGAUCAGUUCUCACAUUAGGACUCAAAUGGAAGAAGGCUUUCCCCAAAAGUUGUCAAAAUUUAAUAUUCAAACUCGUAUAGCUAUCUGCAUCCGAUUCAUCUCACAAAGAAUCUUCUCCACAACCCAGGGUCUCUACAAGAAGCCAACAACUUGCAUGUGCUUAGAAAUCUCUGAGCAACCAGGGGUUCGUGUGUGCAUCCCUGGACACCGGGACUGCCUUCGUGAUGCUGUAAAUGGGCCCCGUCGUCCCAACUGCUAAGGUGCUUGGGAGCAGCCUGCGGAGAGGGAAGCACUGAGAGAGGCUGCCUCUACAAAGCAAGAGAGGAAUGUACCAUCUCACAACAGUCUUACAGUCUUACAAGAGAAAAAGAAAAGGAAAGCCAGAUGCACUGACUCAUGCCUGUAAUCCCAGCACUUUGAGAGGCUGAACGGGAGCAUGACCUGAGGUCAGGAGUUCAAGACCAACCUGGCCAACAUGAUGAAACCCCGUCUCUACUAAAAGUACGAAAAUUAGCUGGGUGUACAAAAUUACAAAAUUUAGUACAAAAAUUCACCUGCAGGAGAAUCACUUGAACCUGGGAGGCAGAGGUUGCAGUGAGCCGAGACUGCACCAUUGCACUCCAGCCUGUGUAAAAAGAGUAAAAUUCCACCUCAAAAAAAAAAAAAAAGGAAAAAAGGAACAGAAAAAAAAAAAGGAAGACAAAGCUAAGGAAGACCACGAUAAAGAAAAUAAAGGAGAAGAGAUGACUAUGAUGACCGUUCGCACAACUGUCAGAUGCAGGUCAUGGUGGUUAAAUGCAACAAAGCCCAGAGAUGUCUUGCCUGCCUUUCCUACCUUUACUAAUCAUCAAAUAUAUCCACAACCAGUUGCUCUUCAUCAGGAUUUGCUGGGUGCUAAGACUGAAUGCUUAUGUCCCCCUCACAAUUAAGGGAUUGAGUGUUCUUACAAAAGAGACUCCAGAGAGAUCCUGUGUCCCUUUCACCAGCAUGCUCCUCCACCUGUCUGCAUGUCGGUUGCUGCGUCCAUAUAAAGUGCUGCAGGGAUAUUUCGAGAAGCUAAUAAGACAAGUCAAUGUGCAAAUACCUUGCAAGUAUCUAAAAUGAAAAAUGUGAGCUCUUCUUCCCCAAGCAAAGAAAAGACCCAAAUAAAAAAUAACACAUAUGUAGAGGUUAUCUAUGAUAUUUUAGAUUUUAUGAGCUCUCUAUAAAUGAACAUUUGUUUCCUUUGUUCCUGAAAUGAAACCAUUACCUGUUUUUCUUGUUUGCCUUUUCCAGCCUAUCUGCCAAAAGUUAUUUUAUUUUACAAAAUGUCUUCCUAAAUUAUCCAAUCCUUUUCCUUCUGAACAUUUAAAACCAUUCAAAAAACCCAAAGUACAUUUUGAUCUAAGCAAUUAAGUUUCUUUACAUCAGUAAUCCCAAUGUCAUGUUGCGAACGUCAUUCUAGAAAAUGUCCCACAGCAAGUUUUUAAUGGCCUGUAAGCAGAGGCUUUAAAAUAAGGACAUUUUUAAAUGCUGGGUCAGGAAUAACUUCAGUGAGGCUCCAGCCCCCUGCCGCGACCUUUCUGCUGACAUGUCUCUGUUGACGCCAAUAUGGAAAUCCACUUGUUUCCAGGCUUUCUCUCUUCAUACCUCAUUAGGAUUCUGCACUGUUACAAAGUAAAACCACUGCCAGGACCAUGAAAUAUGAGGCAAUGGAAUACUCUAAAAUCCCACACCAUUCUUCAUUUACUGUCUUUCCAUCAAGUCACCAAACCAAAACUAUCAAAUUGAUUGUACAAGGCAAGAGAUAUGACAGAGUUAGAUGCCCAGAACAUUUUUUGCAAUCCUUCUUUUCUGGCGGGGUGGAGAUCUGAAAAUGUAUCCCUUCUAGGUUUCUGUAAGUAAUCAGAAGAACUGCAAAUUAUACUUUUGUUUUUGCCAAACUUUUAAGCUUGACAUGAUUGAAACUUCUAGAUUCCUCUAGUUUUCUCCUCUAAAAGCAACACUUCCAGCUAGGUUUAGCUGCUUCGCUGGAGAGCAUGCUGCAAUGUACCCAGCUUACCAUGAUGUCCCAGACAUGCUUUAAUAUACAGCUAGCAUAAGCAUGCCUAUUUUACUAAGGAUUUUCAUUUAAUUUUGUCCUUCUAUAAAACUAUCUAACCUUGGACAGUAUUACAGAUGACUCCUGGUCAUGUGAGUAGGCCAGGGAUUAGGGAUUUGGAUAUGAGGUGCUCCUUAGGAUUUCCCUGCCAAAGCAUUCCCUGCUGGUGUGUUCCAAUCACAAAAGAUAGCAGUGCUGUUGGAAAAGGCGGUGGCAUUUUUGCCAUCCAGGAUCCAGAUGCUUUCUUCGCUCCUGGGAUGGUAGCAAAAAAAACCUCAAAUCUUCAAAGUGAAUACCAGCAUUGAUCUUUAAGUUCAGUGAUGGAAUUACUCUCAGAGGCUUCCAUAACUAAAUUGAAAUCUCCCCAAUUCAAAAUUUCAAAAUAGAGUUUUCUUCUUACCUUCUGUUUUUGUCUGAAUGCAGUUCCGUCUCUCUCUCUGCACCAUAACAAAUCUCGGAAUUGGCUUCCCCAAUUUCCACCAAUCACCCAGCACUGGAAAGUCUAGUCUGUGCCCCCACCGGACCACAGUGACCACCACCGUGUGGCUAAGCCAACCUCUGCUCCACGUGGGGGCCCCUCUGGCCACGCCAGGACCUUUCAUCUCAACCACCCACCAAAGCAAGUGUCAACAUCUCCUUACAGAUUUGCAUCAGAAAUGUUAAGAAAUGUUACUACAGGCAGCAGAAGAGCCACUCCUUACCUCCUGUUAAAACAUUAUAAAAAGGAAAUGUGUGAGGAAGAAGAGCAUAGGUUUGUGUACUAAAUCUCAGAAGAGCAGCUUUUCAAAACUCUGUCAGGCCUGGGAGACAAAGGAAAUAUAUCUUGACCUCACAGAGAGCAUUCAGGUGGAAAAAAGUAAUUUUUUUAACUUGAAAUUUACAUUUAACUAAAAUGAAUUUGUCUCACAAUGAAGAAAGACUAAAUAAAUCAUGGUAUAGCCUAAGUGGAAAAUGGUUCCACUGUUAGAAAUCCGCAUUGAUAAAAGCCAUUCACUAACGUCGGUGAGGCAGGAGAACAGUGGCUGGAGGGAGAGAACAUAAGGCCGAUUCACGCUGAUUUCCUAGAACUAAAUCAAAUGGAAACACUUCAGUGAUGACAGGUAAUACCCUCUCCAUUUACAUAGGGCAUACACAGAGUAAAUGACUUUGUAACUUAACUUCAUGCUCUUCAUUACACAGGGCAUACACCAAUAUAAACCAAUGGAAGUAACCAAUGGAAACCUCUAGAGGGUAUUUAAACCCCAGAAAAUUCUGUAACUGGGCUCUUGAGCCCGUGUGCUAGGACCACUCCCACCCUGUGGAGUGUACUUUCAUUUUCAAUAAAUCUCUGA